ACGGAAGGCAGCAGUGGGGAAUAUUGCACAAUGGGCGAAAGCCUGAUGCAGCAACGCCGCGUGAGCGAUGAAGGCCUUCGGGUCGUAAAGCUCUGUCCUCAAGGAAGAUAAUGACGGUACUUGUGGAGGAAGCCCCGGCUAACUACGUGCCAGCAGCCGCGGUAAUACGUAGGGGGCUAGCGUUAUCCGGAUUUACUGGGCGUAAAGGGUGCGUAGGUGGUUUCUUAAGUCAGGAGUGAAAGGCUACGGCUUAACCGUAGUAAGCUCUUGAAACUGGGAAACUUGAGUGCAGGAGGGGAAAGUGGAAUUCCUAGUGUAGCGGUGAAAUGCGUAGAUAUUAGGAGGAACACCAGUAGCGAAGGCGGCUUUCUGGACUGUAACUGACACUGAGGCACGAAAGCGUGGGGAGCAAACAGGAUUAGAUACCCUGGUA
rnacentral:rRNA from 1 species